rnacentral:hammerhead_ribozyme from 1 species
AUCCAGAUGAAGAGUCCUAAAUAGGAUGAAAUGUGCAUCCUGGAU